UACGUAGGGUGCAAGCGUUGUCCGGAAUUAUUGGGCGUAAAGAGCUCGUAGGCGGUUUGUCGCGUCUGCUGUGAAAACUCGGGGCUCAACUCCGAGCUUGCAGUGGGUACGGGCAGACAAGAGUGCGGUAGGGGAGACUGGAAUUCCUGGUGUAGCGGUGGAAUGCGCAGAUAUCAGGAGGAACACCGGUGGCGAAGGCGGGUCUCUGGGCCGUAACUGACGCUGAGGAGCGAAAGCAUGGGGAGCGAACAGG
rnacentral:rRNA from 1 species